AUUGAACGCUGGCGGCAGGCCUAACACAUGCAAGUCGAACGAGUGGCGGACGGGUGAGUAAUGUCUGGGAAAAUGCCCGAUGGAGGGGGAUAACUACUGGAAACGGUAGCUAAUACCGCAUAUCAUCGGAUGUGCCCAGAGGGGAUUAGCUCGUAGGUGAGGUAUAGGCUCACCUAGGGGACGCUCCCUAGCUGGUCUGUGAGGAUGACCAGCCACACUGUAAGUGUGACACGGUCCAGACUCCUACGGGCGGCAGCAGUGGGGAAUAUUGCACAAUGGGCGCAAGCCUGAUGCAGCCAUGCCGCGUGUAUGAAGAAGGCCUUCGGGUUGUAAAGUACGUUCAGCGGGGAGGCGUUACCCGCAGAAGAAGCACCGGCUAACUCCGUGCCAGCAGCCGCGGUAAUAC
rnacentral:rRNA from 1 species